UCGGUCCGUGCCGGCCGUGCCUGUGGGGAAGGUUUCCCGCCUUGGCCCGCACGGCACAGCCCUGGUUCACUGGUGUAUGUGGGGCAGUCCCGCCCACACGGGGCCUGAGCUGACUGUGGAUCUCCGAGGCUUUCUGCCUGGCUUCCCAACAGGGAGCCUGGGGGAACUCUGCAGUGUUCUGAGUUACAGCAUAGCCCAGGUUUUCAAAAGCCGGGAAGAGCAAAUUGACAAACACCCUCCCUGGGCAGGGGAACGAUGGGCAGAAAUGGUGUCUCCACAGGGGUGGGGAAGCUUAUAUUAAAAAAGGUACAGACGUCUCUUAAAAAAGUGGGUGUUUCAGUAGACAGCAGACCCUUCUGGUCUGAAUUAGGAUGUCAUCUAGUGCGAUACAACUUAUUUCUUUUAAAGAACAGCCCCUCAGCAUGAGACGAGGCAGCUCUGCCUCUUCUUUAGGGAUGUUUAAACUUGCAGGAGCUGAUGAUUGGUGUGGUAUUUGAGAAAAUGUCAGUGCUGGGGAAGACAAGGCUCUUACCUUGCAAACUGGGGCACUUGAGAAGACGAAUCUAGAAAUUGUGUGUUGACAGUAGUCUGGAGACACAGGAGAGAGAUACCUGCAUCCAUUAUGCCUGCAUGCUGUUCCUUCCCCAAUGUCCAUAAAUAUUAGAGCAGGAGAUUCCCUUCUUUUGCCGUAGUAUUUCACUGAUGAGGUGUAGUUUAAAGGGUCUGGUUUUCCAUGAAGUCACUGUGCAGGGCGUGUGACACAGCUUUCCUGGUGUUUUGCUGUGGGGCUGGUGGAAUUGAGUGCUGGCAGAUAUGGCUGAGGAGGAACAGGGUGAUCUGACCUGCUGUUUUCUGAAUUCCUGAGGCCUUCUUACUAAUUCAAUUUAUGGGAUUGUUUUAAAUGGAACUGUGUGGUGUCCCAGGUCAGCGCCUUUCCAAAUAUCCAUUUAAAGUAGAGAGUGAGUUUUCAAGCCUGAUUAUAGAGUAGGCAAAGUUCAGUCUUUGAAAAUGGCAACACCUUCAAAAUAGCGGAUUCCCUUUUCCUCUCAGGUGGAGAGUUGGGGCAGAAGUCUGAAGGAGAACAAGAAUGGUAGUUGCUCAGAUCAAUCAUUGCAAGGGGAUCUGCCAGCUCAUGUGCUUAUGACCCCCGUUGACUGCUUCUCAAUUUGUUUCACAAUUAAAUGGGUGGACAGUUUUUCCUUCCCACCCUUCUUGAUGAAUGGUAUCAGGAGUAGAAAUACCUUUUAAGAAAGAUGCAUGCUGUCCCUUGUGUGUCUCAUUCCUAUGUGGGACAGCAAUUGCUUGCCCCAACUGAUUUGUCAGCUGUAACCAGUCUGUGAUUUCCCAAUUACUGUCAUGCUGGACAUGUGGCAUUGUCUGACAACCAUGGGUUCUGCACAGAGUAUAAAGGGGUUGAUAACUCUGGUGUAAGAUGUUCAUCAUCCUUUCUCUUUCUCUUUGUGAAAGCUUGUCCGAGAAGAACAGAGACUUGCUUCGUCUUGAGGCACAAGAGAAGAGGAGACGGGAGGCUCUAGGGGAGAAAGACCAGUUCCCUGGGAAGGCUCCCAUCUUUGCAAAACCCCACAAGACUGAUAACAAAGAUGCGCUGUCAAGGUGCAUUAGGAACGUCCUCGGAGAUUAUAAUGAUUUCAAGGAGUACAUGAGGAAGAAUUUGCGGAAGGUCAUAUGGAUUCCAAAAAAGUUCAAGUCCAGGUCACAGACCAGGAGCAAGUGUUGUGAACCGAGCUCCAGACAAACCAAGACAUUUCAGAGCUCAGUGACAGAACAACCACUUAAAAAUUCGAAGACAUCAGAAUCAUCUGAGCUUGAACCUUUCCUGGAGAAAACCAACACCACGGAUGCGCCAUCCAUUGAGGACAUUUUGAGGGACACAGAUGGCUCUGCAGCUCAGAAUCAGGCGUGCUCGUAGACGACCUGCAGCUCAGUGACAGUGAGGAGAGUGAUGACAACCAGAUUGUUGAAAGGCCACCUUCUCCACUUGCUCCUCCAAGAUACAGCGUGCUCCUGGACGACCUGCAGCUCAGUGACAGUGAGGAGAGUGAUGACAACCAAGUCAGUUUGGGAUGUUGGACACAUCAGGCACACAGACGUGCCUUGGAAUCAUCUCACCUUGUUGCAUUGUUCUGAGUUCCUUGAGCUAACCUGUCCUUCCCCUCUUCUCUUUCUUUUUGUGACCAAAACAGGUUGUUGAAAAGGUUCCUUCUGCACUUGUUUCUCCAAGAGACAGGUUUUUUACCAAACUUCUAGCUAGACCAGAUAAGGAGAAAAACAAACCUCCUUUUUAUGGGAGGGGGAGAUGGGAAAGGGUUCCUGGUUUCUGUCAUGUAUUGUUAGUCAGAAGCAAUAUUCAAGACAGACUAAAGUGCCCUGUGUGAGCAUUAGAGGAAGAAAGGUGGGGAAGCCCAGAACUUUUCCUCUAGGAGAGCACUGACCCACAUUUUGUCUUGAUCAAGGAACACAGAUGGAGAAGGGAAAACUUAAGGGGAAGAAUAGAAAACCAAAAAACCAUCCUGAAAUCUGGUAGCCUUUAUUGGAAAUUUUUUUCCAGUUGAAAGGACUGAGGCUUUCAGAAAAGCCCUGACCAGUUUAGAUGGGGUUUUUAAAGUUGAGUUGGCCAAAUGCAGCUUCAGAAUGUAGCAGUGAUGUCCUGCUUACAUAUUUGUCUGACUGGGUUGAAGUUGAAAGAUUUAUUAUUUCCAGAGGUUUUUUCAUUCCAGUGCUUUAUGUUUUGAGUAUGGCAGAGUCUUCUCCCCUCUCCUCUCGUUGCCAAAACAGAGGGUUUCAGUUUUAUUUCUAAAUACUGCCAUGUCAAUAUAAUAAGUAAAUAAUCUUCACCCAUGCUCCUUUGUAAUUUCAUCUCCUGGUGGCUUUGCAGUGCCCUACAGUCCCAGCUCAGGAGUGUGGCAUCAUCUCCAUCCAGCAGCUCGGAGACCAGUGACUCAGAGAGCUCCGUAGACUGGGAGA